ACUCAAAUGAAUAGACGGGGGCCCGCACAAGCAGUGGAGCAUGUGGUUUAAUUCGAUGCAACGCGCAGAACCUUACCCAGGCUCGAAAUGCAGCGGACGACACUAGAAAUAGUGUUUCCCGAAAGGGCUGCUGUAUAGGUGCUGCAUGGCUGUCGUCAGCUCGUGCCGUGAGGUGUUGGGUUAAGUCCCGCAACGAGCGCAACCCUCGUCACUAGUUGCCAACAUUUCGGAUGGGAACUCUAGUGAGACUGCCUAGGUUAACUAGGAGGAAGGUGAGGAUGACGUCAAGUCCGCAUGGCCUUUAUGUCUGGGGCUACACACGUGCUACAAUGGUCGGUACAGAAGGCAGCAAGACCGCGAGGUGGAGCAAAUCCGUAAAACCGAUCUCAGUUCAGAUUGCAGUCUGCAACUCGACUGCAUGAAGUUGGAAUUGCUAGUAAUGACGUGUCAGCAACAACGUCGUGAAUACGUUCCCGGGCCUUGUACACACCGCCCGU
rnacentral:rRNA from 1 species